AGAUUGAACGCUGGCGGCAUGCCUUACACAUGCAAGUCGAACGGUAGAGUAGCAAUACUCGAGAGUGGCGAACGGGUGAGUAAUAUAUCGGAACGUGCCCAGUCGUGGGGGAUAACGUAGAGAAAUUUACGCUAAUACCGCAUACGAUCUACGGAUGAAAGCGGGGGACUCGCAAGAGCCUCGCGCGAUUGGAGCGGCUGAUAUCAGAUUAGGUUGUUGGUGAGGUAAAAGCUCACCAAGCCGACGAUCUGUAGCUGGUUUGAGAGAACGACCAGCCACACUGGGACUGAGACACGGCCCAGACUCCUACGGGAGGCAGCAGUGGGAAUUUUGGACAAUGGGCGAAAGCCUGAUCCAGCAAUGCCGCGUGCAGGAAGAAGGCCUUGGUGUAACGUGCUUUGUACGAACGAAAGGACUCUUACUAAUAAAGAAGGACCGACUGACGGUACCGUAACGAAUAAGACACCGGACCUAACUACGUACGACACGACGACGCGACGUACUACG
rnacentral:rRNA from 1 species